GCCUUAGUAACGGCGAGUGAAGCGGCAACAGCUCAAAUUUGAAAGCUGGCUCCUUUGGAGUCCGCGUUGUAAUUUGUAGAGGAUGAUUCGGCAAGGGCUCCCGCCUAAGUCUCCUGGAACGGAGCGUCAUAGAGGGUGAGAAUCCCGUAUGCGGUGGGCUGCCUAAGCCAUGUGAAUCUCCUUCGACGAGUCGAGUUGUUUGGGAAUGCAGCUCUAAAUGGGAGGUAAAUUUCUUCUAAAGCUAAAUACCGGCCAGAGACCGAUAGCGCACAAGUAGAGUGAUCGAAAGAUGAAAAGCACUUUGGAAAGAGAGUUAAAAAGUACGUGAAAUUGUUGAAAGGGAAGCGCUUGCAGCCAGACUUGUCCGCAGUUGCUCAGCCGGUCUCCUGACCGGUGUACUCUUCUGCGGCCAGGCCAGCAUCAGUUCGGGCGGUCGGAUAAAGACCUCGGGAAUGUAGCUCCUCUCGGGGAGUGUUAUAGCCCGGGGUGGAAUGCGGCCAGCCUGGACUGAGGAUCUCGCUUCGGCUAGGAUGCUGGCGUAAUGGCUGUAAGCGGCCCGUCUUGAAACACGGACCAAGGAGUCUAACAUCUAUGCGAGUGUUUGGGUGUCAAACCCAUGCGCGUAAUGAAAGUGAACGGAGGUGGGAACCCUCACGGGUGCACCAUCGACCGAUCCUGAUGUCUUCGGAUGGAUUUGAGUAAGAGCAUAGCUGUUGGGACCCGAAAGAUGGUGAACUAUGCCUGAAUAGGGUGAAGCCAGAGGAAACUCUGGUGGAGGCUCGCAGCGGUUCUGACGUGCAAAUCGAUCGUCAAAUUUGGGUAUAGGGGCGAAAGACUAAUCGAACCAUCUAGUAGCUGG
rnacentral:rRNA from 1 species